rnacentral:misc_RNA from 1 species
UUUUUUUUUUGGAUUUAGCUCUAGCAUGUUUUGCGACCAAUUAAUUACAUCAAGAUUGGAAGUUGUUAUUAUCACUAGCUAACACUCAAACUAGUCCAAUUCUCACUAAACUUCACAAUUCUUAGUAGAAUUCUCAUCAAUUGCGUACCUAUUGUUCCUAGUGAUAAAGGUUCGUAUAUUAUUCUUCAUGAAGUGGUUCUUUUACCAAACCAAAAUCCCCGACUGGGUUUCAGAAGCUGCUUUAAAAGUGCCAUUUUGGGAACAUUCCAGUGUUCUACAUGCCUGAAAUGUUUCGGCAGCCAAAUAAAUUGAGAGUGAAAUAAUAAUAUUGAAAAGAUAGAAUAAAGUCUGUCCCAAUCCCAUUAUGUUUACCUGCAUACUCUUCCAGAUUGUGCAUCAAAAUAGUACUCUGUAUAUCCAGUAGCUGCAAUAUAACUUAACAGAGUCAGGUCUAAUCAGCUAAGCAUCUGGACUUACAUUAUCAUAUGGUAUGGCUAUAAAUUGUUGAAAUCUUGAAGCUAUGGACAGCAAAAUUUUUAGAAGAAAUCCAUUCAUAGUAAAACCCAUUUUAUUGUGUUAUAUUUUUCUACAGAAUUUCAUUUUUGAUUUUGAUGCAACCACAGGUUCUUGAUCUUACUAUAUAGGAACAUUUUAAGGGAAUACCAGUUAUUUACAGCAAAAGGGUAGCAUUAUUUACUUGUAAACUGUCUCUUAUGAUAAGUUUAACGUAAGAUCAUGGAGCAUACCAGAAAGAAUAGGCCUCCAAGGAAAUGACAUGAUACAGCUAAAUCUCCAAUGUCCAAUUCCCUUAUCCUGGUAACCAAACAAAUUUUUGGUGUCAAGAGUUCUCUAAGGGAAAACACUGCAAAUAUAAAAAGGAAAUCCCUGAGGUGAAACGUGCUUAGUUCUGUUGAUCAUAAUGCCUAAAACUCCAUGUUCUCACCUCAUAAUCUUCCCACUUGGUAAGCUUCAUAUUUGACUUUUCAAUAAGCAAUCCAAAAUUUGUACAGUUUCUCUUGAAACGUGCAAGUCCUCUAAAGGAACCAGCAGGAUCGGCAAAUUCACAAUCCUCUUCAUAUGCAUUGAGUGUGAGAUUUCCUAAUCAUUGGAAAAGAAUGAUUAUGUCGCCUAACACAUUAAUCAUGGAGCAGAAACUUCCCAAAUCACGAAAUUUUGGAAUUGGAUUUAUCUCAUAAGAACCAGUUUCUCCUAAAACGUACAAUACUCUGUUUGUGAUGAAGCACAGACCCAAAUCAACAGAUAAAAAGAAAAAACGAGGAAAAUUUGUAGUGAAAUGUAAAUGGCAAUUCCCAAAAACCUGUAACGAAAUACGAUCUUUGGAAAUCCUCUUUGAUGACGUCCACAACCAUGGCACGUUCAAUGCUUCCUAACCCGUCAGCACCAAGCGUGCGUUCCCCUUGGGGAGCUUCAGUAGUUGAAGGUGAACGGAAAAAUGAAGCGGCGAUUCCAAGAAGCUCAGAGCCGUACCAAGCUAGCUUCAGAACGGCAUUCUCAGGUUCGGAUUCUUGUCUGGCAGGCGAAUUGCCUGAUGGAUUCUUCCCGUUACAACAGAUUAUAUUGAUUUUCCCAUGAUAAUUUGGCGGGAAAAUGAUGGUUCGAUGGUGGGAAUUUAGACGGGGAGUGCUGGAAGAGUAGGAGAAAGAGCUCGCCAUUUAGAAUUUGAGACUCGAGGAGAGAGAGAGAGAGAGAG